rnacentral:tRNA from 1 species
GGAGGAAUGGCAGAGUGGUCGAUUGCGGCGGUCUUGAAAACCGUUGUACAGCAAUGUACCGGGGGUUCGAAUCCCUCUUCCUCCG